ensembl:lncRNA LINC01858 long intergenic non-protein coding RNA 1858
GGAGGAAAUUGUAACGUAUCUCUGACCAACCACCCAGGUGAUAACACUUCUGCCUGAUUCCUGUUCUCAGGGAAGAUUGUGACAUAUCCCUGGCCCAGCACCCAGAUGACGUAACUCUCCUGUGCAUGCCCUAUCCACACGUGUGAUUUUGACAUACACCUCUGCCUUGCACCUGAGUAAUGUGACUCUUUAGCACCAGCACAGCCUACAGAUAGGAUUGUGCCACACUGCUGGACCCAGCACCUAGAAGCAGGAUAUGUACAGAAUUGUUGAUCUCAUCUGUGGACCUUCCUGCAAGCACGAUUGUGCCAUAUGCCUCUGUAUACGCAAGGGUGAUUGUGCCAUAUGCCUCUGUAUAGUUUACUCUCCUGCCUGGAUUUAGCCCACAGAUGAAAUUGUGACAUAUCGCUGGACCAGAAACUAGGUGAUGCUACUCUCUACUUAUGGCUGGGCCUUGACAAAAAGAGGGAUUGGGACAUAUCCCUGGACGCUGAACCUAAGAGGUGGAGGUUGCCGUGGUGACAGAGUGAGACUUCGCCAAAACAAAACAAAAAAAACAACAACAAAAAGGGGUACUUUCUGCCCACAAAUGAGAUUGUGGCAUCUAACCCUAAGGUGAUGUUACUUCUUUGCUCUGGCUGUGCCCUUAGAAAACACUGAAACAUACUGCUGGGUCCAGCACCAAGAUUAUGUGAGUUUUCUGCCUGAACCCUGACCACAGGAAGCAUUGUAACAUAUCUCUUGACCCAUUGCAAUUUCUCCUAUGGGCAAAGCCCAGGUAAAUGCCUUCUUUUUUCUACAUGAUGUGACUCUCCUCUUCUGGGGUUUGUCUACAGUGGGAAUUGUGAUAUGACUCUUCUUUCAUUCUUGGGCCCUUUUCAGUGGGGUGAUUGGAACAUAAAGCUGAGCCCCAUAUCUAGGUUAUGUCUUUCCUCUUGUUUAUGAGCCCUACCCACAGAAGGCAUUGUGACAUAUCCCUAGCCUUUUACCUAGAUAAUAUGACAUUUUUGCCUAGGCCUUCUCCUCAGGGGGUAUUGUGAAAUAUUGCUGAACUGAGAACCUAGGUGAUGUGACUCUCCUCUGCUGCCUGGGCCCUGUAUACGUUGUGUAUUGCAACACAUCUCUGUGUCCAACACUGAGGUGAUGGGCCCUCCCACAGAUAUAUUAAACACAUCUUUGUAUUUAU